rnacentral:lncRNA from 10 species
AAUCACUGCCUGAGACUGGAGGUGCCUACAGGAAUAGAGGCUGGUUACUUUCUCCUCAACUGCAGCAACCUACAGCUCACCUGGGUGCACCACUGCACAACUAGGGGAGAGUUCUGGGCAAAUGACAGCUGCCUACUUACCUUUGGCUGGAGCCACACAUGAUAGAAGGUGGGAAGAGAGGGGUCGGCCGAUGGGUAAGCUGUACUCCUACCAUUUGGUAGGUCAAAGAUGCCUGAAUUUCCCGAGAGCCAAGUGGAUGUUGUGGGAAGUAGCAACACUAAAGCUGUUUUGAUGAGAUUCAACCCAAGAAGGCUGCCUGCUUGGAGAUGGGACACCACCAGUAAGUGGCUGUAGAUUGUACCUGUAGGGGCUGGACUUGAGGAAGGGUUACAAGAGGUCAGCCAGGAGGAAACAGCAAUUAGAAGACUCCAGGUGAUAGACCUCCCAAGAACUUGCUGCCAUCCUAGAGGGUGUGUAGGUCAACCACCAAGCAAAGAGAGAGCUACAGAGGGCAGCCCCUAAAUAAAAAGAGCUUUAUGUAUCUUUCUCUGCCCUAAGUGG